rnacentral:tRNA from 1 species
GCGGGUGUAGCUCAGUUGGCUAGAGCUCCUGCCUUCCAAGCAGGUUGUCGAGGGUUCGAGUCCCUUCACCCGCU